AUGUACUGGAAAGAAAAAAAAAAGAUGCUGGACAUGAACAAAAGGGAGAGAGCCAGGCCUUUCUACAUCACCUCCCUCCCUGCUUACCUGUACCUGCAGGCCAGGUGUGCCAAUGGGCGGGGCAGAGAGCCCAGAGCCUGGUUCUUUCUGUUUACAGGCACCGCCCACUUGACUUUCUUGCUGAGGGAGCUCUCUGACCUUAGAGAGACCUGUGUUUUACUGCCUGCGAGGGUGUUUUACAGACUUGAGUUAUUGUCCACAGGGACUCGUUUGAAACCAGCUUAUGGGUGAGGAAAGGGAAUCACAGAGGCUGAAGACUUGUCCAAGGACACAGCUUGUAAAUGUUGGAGUUGAAUUUGAAUUCAGGUAAUUGAGCUCCAAAUUCCAUGCUCUCAGUAGGUCACCUCUCAAAAGAAGAAUUUCCUUCAAACAUCUUGCAGUAGUAAUUAUUUUUAUUUAUUUGUUUGCUUUAUAUAAUUCUACAAGCUGAGGGUCAGUUUACAGAACAAGUGGAACUGCCUUAUUCAAGGUAAUUACUAGUUGUUUGCAAAUGCUUUAAGAAUGAAGCUUUGCUGCUGCUGCUGCUAAGUCGCUUCAGUCGUGUCUGACUCUGUGCGACCCCAUAGACGGCAGCCCCCAGGCUCCCCUGUCCCUGGGAUUCUCCAGGCAAGAACACUGGAGUGGGUUGCCAUUUCCUUCUCCAGUGCAUGAAAGUGAAAAGUGAAAGUGAAGUCGCUCAGUCGUGUCCGACUCUUAGCGACCUCAUGGACUGCAGCCCACCAGGCUCCUCGGUCCAUGGGAUUUUCCAGGCAAGAGUACUGGAGUGGGGUGCCAUUGCCUUCUCCUAAGAAUGAAGCUUCAGGGAACCAUAAAUACCAGGAAGUGAGGUUUUUAAGUCAGUUAAUCCAGGCUUGGUACCUGCAAAGCCAAGAAAGAGUAAAUGGUAUAUCAGAUGUUCUAUAGUUCAGAGUUCUAACUUCUUACUCAUGUUUGGGUUGCUAGAUGUGGAAAAACCUAGAAUUAUUUGUCCCUGCCUUAACAAAAUGAUCAAUUAUUGAAUUAUUUUCUUUUACCUGGUCUUUUCAUAAAGAGGUCAGUAUCAACAAAAUUCUCUGAGAGCCCAGGAUGGCUGGUGUUUGUUUAUCUAUUUAAGAGAAAUUUUUGGUGGCCUCUUGAGUUCGUACAGUUUUAACCCAGUUUGUCCCAUCCAGAUAAUCUUUAGCAUGAGGACUAUGAGAUGGUCACGCAGCUUCCAUUUUGUCCUGUGGACUGUGUUUACCAAGUCAGAAAA
rnacentral:lncRNA from 1 species